CACAUUUUAUGUAGUUUACAUUUUCAAUUCUGCAGAAUUUCAUCACAGAAGGGGAAAAAUGUAUGCACCUCCACAGUACCAAGAAACAAGCUAUGUGGAACACGUUCGCAGACGCCACCAAGAAAAGGGAUGCCUUUACGCUUGUUUGUUCGCCUUGUGCUGCUGCUUCUGCUGCUACGAGAGCUGUGAGUGCUGUUUGGAUGUGUUAUGUUGCUGCUGCCCCUAGAUAAGGUGUAUCUAUCUAAAAGUAAUAAUUACAGAUGAAGACGAGACUUUCUGAUAUGAGUGUGUUACUUUUGACUUACGGUUGUGAUAAGGUUUUUCCUUAGAAAAUUACUUUAUUAUCAAAGAGGCAUAGACCUAACAAGUACCAUUUUUUGUGUUCUUUUGAUGUUGAAUAUUUUAAUCUAUAGCGGAAGUUACUCCAGUGAUAAUGUAAUGGUUAUAAAUGAAGAAUAAAGUAUGAAUAUUUUGGGGA